rnacentral:rRNA from 1 species
UAGUGAACUAGUACCGUGAGGGAAAGGCGAAAAGAACCCCUGUGAGGGGAGUGAAAUAGAACCUGAAACCGUAUACGUACAAGCAGUAGGAGCAGACUUGUUCUGUGACUGCGUACCUUUUGUAUAAUGGGUCAGCGACUUACUAGUCUGUAGCAAGCCUAACCGUAUAGGGAAGGCGUAGGGAAACUGAGUCUUAAUAGGGCGCUUA